AGAGUUUGAUCCUGGCUCAGGAUGAACGCUGGCGGCGUGCUUAACACAUGCAAGUCGAACGAGCCUUCGGGCUAGUGGCGGACGGGUGAGUAACGCGUGAGAAUCUGCCCUCAGGAGGGGGAUAACGGCUGGAAACGGCCGCUAAUACCCCAUAUGCCGCGAGGUGAAAUGAGAAAUCGCCUGAGGAUGAGCUCGCGUCUGAUUAGCUAGUUGGUGGGGUAAGAGCCUACCAAGGCAUCGAUCAGUAGCUGGUCUGAGAGGAUGAUCAGCCACACUGGGACUGAGACACGGCCCAGACUCCUACGGGAGGCAGCAGUGGGGAAUUUUCCGCAAUGGGCGCAAGCCUGACGGAGCAACGCCGCGUGAGGGAUGAAGGCCUCUGGGCUGUAAACCUCUUUUCUCAAGGAAGAAGAACUGACGGUACUUGAGGAAUAAGCCACGGCUAAUUCCGUGCCAGCAGCCGCGGUAAUACGGGAGUGGCAAGCGUUAUCCGGAAUUAUUGGGCGUAAAGCGUCCGCAGGCGGUCUUGAAAGUCUGUUGUUAAAGCGUGGAGCUCAACUCCAUUUCAGCAAUGGAAACUAGAAGACUAGAGUGUGGUAGGGGCAGAGGGAAUUCCCGGUGUAGCGGUGAAAUGCGUAGAUAUCGGGAAGAACACCAGUGGCGAAGGCGCUCUGCUGGGCCAUAACUGACGCUCAUGGACGAAAGCCAGGGGAGCGAAAGGGAUUAGAUACCCCUGUAGUCCUGGCCGUAAACGAUGAACACUAGGUGUCGGGGGAAUCGACCCCCUCGGUGUCGUAGCCAACGCGUUAAGUGUUCCGCCUGGGGAGUACGCACGCAAGUGUGAAACUCAAAGGAAUUGACGGGGGCCCGCACAAGCGGUGGAGUAUGUGGUUUAAUUCGAUGCAACGCGAAGAACCUUACCAGGGUUUGACAUCCUGCGAAUCUUUUGGAAACAGAAGAGUGCCUUCGGGGGCGCAGAGACAGGUGGUGCAUGGCUGUCGUCAGCUCGUGUCGUGAGAUGUUGGGUUAAGUCCCGCAACGAGCGCAACCCACGUCUUUAGUUGCCAGCAUCGAGUUGGGCACUCUAGAGAGACCGCCGGUGAUAAACCGGAGGAAGGUGUGGAUGACGUCAAGUCAUCAUGCCCCUUACAUCCUGGGCUACACACGUACUACAAUGCUACGGACAGAGGGCAGCAAACUCGCGAGAGCUAGCAAAUCCCAUAAACCGUGGCUCAGUUCAGAUCGUAGGCUGCAACUCGCCUACGUGAAGGAGGAAUCGCUAGUAAUCGCAGGUCAGCAUACUGCGGUGAAUACGUUCCCGGGCCUUGUACACACCGCCCGUCACACCAUGGAAGUUGGCCAUGCCCGAAGUCGUUACUCCAACCCUUGUGGAGGAGGACGCCGAAGGUGGGGCUGAUGACUGGGGUGAAGUCGGAACAAGGUA
rnacentral:rRNA from 1 species